AGUUUUAACAGCUUUCGGAGAUUUUCACAAAGUCACGGUUGACCGAUGUAUAUUGUCUGAAAAGUUUGCAGCACUUGGUAUGUGUCUGUCAGGGCUCAAAGCCGCUGCACGUGGGGCAGCCUGGCCUAGAGCGCAGAGAAGUAAGGCGGGCGCAGAGAACGCGGACCCGCGCACCAAAGCGGCAAAACGGCACGCAGACGCUCCAGAAUCCUCGGAGGUUCCAGUAACGUGAGCUGCAAGCAGCGGGCUUUAAGACCUGAUGACACUGCCAUCGAGAAUGCUGGUGCGUGAUUUCUUCAAAAACCAUUCGCACCGCAUUGCUGAAGCUACGAUAGCGUCACAGCUGCUUUUACAUCCCGUUAUUUCAUAGCCCGUACUUCCAGAUUUCAACAAUUGGUGUUUUCCAAACAGGCCUGGAACAAAAGGCGACCUUGGCUGGGAAUUUAGAUCGCGACGCUCCAGCACACCUUCCAAGCCUAACCUCAAGGGCUGGGAUGCCCACUUAGAUCCCAGCCGAGCGGACCCUUCCUUCCCCCGCGCGCCCUUCCCGGCUCCACAGACCCCUGACAUUCCGCCAACAUGGCCGCGCUCACAGCCCGCUCGUUUCCGACCGUUUCUCGGGCGUUCGUGCGGCGAGCGCAGCGUUGUUUGCGAGCUUCCCCACGGGAGGGACACACGGAGGUGCCAGCAAUCUGACCGGAGCCCCCCAGGUGAGCGGCGGAAAGACCGCGGGGGCAAAGACCGCCAUGCAGCGCGCGUGCGCCCAGGGUGCCGCCGGAAGUGGGGACGCUCGCGCGCCCCCGCCCCGGCAGCCGCAGCCGGUGCCCCCAGAGCUGGGUGUGCGGCCGGGAACGGGCGAAUUCGCAGAGGUGAGGCGUGGCCGCCGGAGGUCGCAGUGGACUCGGGGGGAACCCAGAUCAGCGUGUGAGUCUCGGCGGAAGAGCUUAAGGAGGGGAGAGGAUCCACGGAGAUUCUCCAGGUGUUCCUUGGCUUGUGGCAGCUUGUCUCUACUCUGCCUCCAUCUUCACGUGGUCUCAUCUUCCCUGGAUGUAGGGUCCAUCUGGAUACUCCUGGAUUCUCUUAAGAUCCUUAAUUACAUCGGCAAAGACCCUUUUUCCACAUGAAGUCUCAUUCGCAGGUUCAUGGGGUUAAUACAUAGCUUUUGGGGGGGGGGGGCACCAUUUAACCAAGUACAAAUGGGGAUGUGGAUUUUAAGGGAUUAUAUGUCCAGAGUCUAACCUUCUAUAUGUCCUUUUUCCCACUUUCCCUUUCUCAUUCAUGCUGCUGCUUCUUUUUUAAGUUUAUUUUGAGAGAGAGCAUCCCAGGCAGGGUCUGCACUGUCAUUGCACAGCCUGAUGCCAGACUUGAUCUCACAAACUGUGAGGUCAUGACCUGAGCCAUGAUGAAGAGUCAGACACUUAAAUGACUAAGCCAUCUAGGCACCCCUCAUUCAGGCCACUUCUGCUUCACAGAAGAAAGGCAUGCCUCCCCCACAUUCAGAUGUUAUGUUUUAUUUGCCUGGGUUAGAAAGCCUUUGGGGGCACCAAGUAAAGAGAAAGUUACAGAUACUGACUUUGACUUAAGGUGGGUGCACAGCAGCAGUGUCAGUGUCUGGGCCCAGAGCGAAUGGAUCAUCCAAAAUGAACUCGCCCUUCACCCCACAGGUCCUGGAUUCUCAGGAAUAAGAGAGAUCCAGUAAAGGACGAGUAGGGGUUCUUGGAGUUGCAUACGGCCAUUCGUGGGACAUCCUUGUCCUAAGACCAAGAUUUCUGAACAGAAAAUUAGGGCAGAUCCAGAAGAACUGACAUCCCUGUUACUGGGCAUUUUCUGAAACAGAAGAAAAUGAUGAAGGCCCAAGUGACUUUUGGUUUGUUGUAUUCAAACGUUGAGUCUUUCAUGGAUUUGGGGAGGCCUGAAAAAAUCAGUUCGACUAAAUAAAAAGUGUAAAUGGGCAAAAAUGGGCUCUGGGGAGAAAUAGAUGGCCCUUCAAAAUUAGGGCAGAGUGGGAUCAGGAACAUGUUGUUCCUAGAUUCGUGCAUGACUAGUGCUGGACUAUGGUGUGUGGAUCUGCAGGAUCCUGCUGGUGCCACCAUCAGUGUGUACCUACUUACUAUCUCUGACAGUCAUUGCAGCCAGAAAAUCACGGAAAGUUACAUCAGAUGCCUUGACUCAGGACAAAGCAUAUCAGUUCCUCAGGAGAGGUCACCAUUUCAUGGCACGUAAGCGUUAGGAACUCUCUUUGAUGGUUUCUUUCCAGAGGUGACCUGGUAGGCUGUGUGAUCUCAGCAGCCUUCUUCUAAUCAGUGUACGAGCAUGGCUGUUACUUACCUGAUUAUUCUGAGUCCCCCGUGGGAGUAGAUCAAGUAGAAUUCAGUAGACACUGGUUUUUGAGGAGACCACAGCCUGAUGACUUCCAUACCCAGCCUUACUUCCAUCUGGAUCUGUCCUUGAGUAGAACUGAAAGUGCCCAGUAAAAUGGAAGGUUUGCACACCUUUCAGAGGCCCUCUGUGAACAGGUGGCUGGACUGGUGUUUGAGUACAGAUUUGGCCAGAGGGAGUUACAAGUUCUUAUCUGGUGCUGGCUCGGGUUGUUGAGAUCCACACAGGGUUGCCUUAGAACUUCAGCUCAUCUCAGAAAACAUAGAGCCUUCUGUGUUCAAAAUCGAGUUGUCACCUUCCACCUUUGUACUGCCUUUAAUUACACAAAUGACUCAUUGUGGCAUAAUAAAAAAUAUAUAUGUAUUUGCUCUUUGUCUCUGGUUCCUGGCUGAGCUCCUAUAUCCCAUUAUUUCCUAAGUGGCAGGAGUGUCUUUUGUUUUCAUGACAAGCCCCUUUGAGCAUAUCUAAGUUUAUGCUAAUGAGGUGACUCAAGGUAAGCCCCUAGAUAGCUUCAGGAUGAGGGCUGGUCCCCCAAAAGACCAAGCUUUGAUUAGAGGGCUGGAACUUUCAGCUCCACCUGGAACUCAGGACAGGAGAAGAGCUGCAGCUGGAGUUCUGUCACCAGUAACCAGUGAUUUAAUCAGUCAUGCCUAUGUAACGGAACCUCCAUAGAAACUUGACAGGGUUCAGAGAGCUUCCACGUGGGCAGACCCAUCCACCUGCUAGGAGGGCAGUGCACCCCAACUCCUUGGGGACAGAGGCUCCUCCACGCAGGACCUCUUUGGACCUCACCUGAGUACCUCUUCAUAGUAUGAUUUAUAAUAAACUAACUUUUUAAUGUUUGUUUAUUUUUGAGAGAGGGGUAGAGAGAUAGAGACAGGGAGACAGGAAACAGGCUCUGCACUGAGAGUAAAGAGCCCGAUUCAGGGCUGGAACUCACAAACCGUGAGAUCAUGACCUAAGCCGAAGUAGAAUACUUAACCAACUGAGCCACCCAGGUGCCCCCAUAAUAAACUGUAAUUUUAAGUCCAAUAUUUUCCUGAGUGAGUUCUAGCAAAAUCACACCUGAGAGGGGAAGGUUGUGGGAACCCCUAAAUUUAUAGCCACGUUGCAUAGAAGUGCAGCUAACAUGGGGACCUGGAACUUGUGACCGGUCUCUGAAGUGAAGGCAGUCUUGUAGAACCGAGUGAGCCCUUAAGCCGGUAAGGUCUGAUGCUGACUCUGAAUAGUUAGUGUCAGAUAGGAUUGAAUUAUAGGACGCCCAGUGCCUGAGAAUCAGAGACUUGGAAAAUUAGUAUUGGAAGAGACCAUGUAUUUGGUGUCAGGAAGAACCACAGAGUCAGAUACAUUUUCAAUGUAAAAGGCUCAUUAUAUAGUACACGUAGUGAUAAAGUUCCCCUCCAUACAUUCUUUGGCCCACAAUUCUCUGGCACAUCAUUAACACAUGCUUGGUAGUGUGUUCCUGUGUUCUGGGCAUUUACCUACGUGUAUCUAUGUGUGUGUGUGUAUAUGUGCAUGCCUGUGUGUGCAUAUAUCUACGUGAAUCUAUGUAGGCAAAUGCUUAUACCUGUGAAGACAUUUUUACGAGCAUAAACUCAUACUAUGUCACCCUGAUGUCCCUAGCAUUUCAUACAGUGACUGACAAAUAGGUGCUGAAAUACACAGAUUGCAAAUGCUCUCAGGUUAGCAAGAGGAUUUAAUGGCUGCAUGUCACAGAUAUCUGUGAUUUGUGGGAUAAAAGAAUGACUGAAUAUUUUAAUGACUUUGCUUCUUUCGUGAUUAAUUGAAAAAAAUAAGAAUAGAAACAGCUUACAAGGUGAAAAUGAGCAGAACCACUUCCUUCACAUUCCUUUUGAGUAGGGAAAACCUCGCCCUUCCUCCUUUGUGUCUCCUUAACUCUCAUAUCACUGCUACAGUCACAUCACUUCUGAUGCCAGGCAUGGGGACCCCCCC
ensembl:lncRNA